CCUACGGGAGGCAGCAGUGAGGAAUAUUGGUCAAUGGGCGGGAGCCUGAACCAGCCAAGUCGCGUGAGGGAAGACGGUCCUAUGGAUUGUAAACCUCUUUAGGCGGGGAGCAAUGCCGGGCACGCGUGCCCGGAGGGAGAGUACCCGCAGAAUAAGCAUCGGCUAACUCCGUGCCAGCAGCCGCGGUAAUACGGAGGAUGCGAGCGUUAUCCGGAGUUAUUGGGUUUAAAGGGUGCGUAGGCGGAUUUUUAAGUCAGCGGUAAAAUGUCCGGGCUCAAACCGGGCCGGCCGUUGAAACUGGGGAUCUUGAGUGGGCGAGAAGUAUGCGGAAUGCGUGGUGUAGCGGUGAAAUGCAUAGAUAUCACGCAGAACUCCGAUUGCGAAGGCAGCAUACCGGCGCCCGACUGACGCUGAGGCACGAAAGCGUGGGGAUCGAACAGGAUUAGAUACCCCAGUAGUC
rnacentral:rRNA from 1 species